GAUGAACGCUGGCGGCGUGCCUAAUACAUGCAAGUCGAGCGGACAGACGAGGAGCUUGCUCCUCUGACGUUAGCGGCGGACGUGUGAGUAACACGUGGAUAACCUACCUAUAAGACUGGGAUAACUUCGGGAAACCGGAGCUAAUACCGGAUAAUAUAUUGAACCGCAUGGUUCAAUAGUGAAAGACGGCUUUGCUGUCACUUAUAGAUGGAUCCGCGCCGCAUUAGCUAGUUGGUAAGGUAACGGCUUACCAAGGCAACGAUGCGUAGCCGACCUGAGAGGGUGAUCAGCCACACUGGAACUGAGACACGGUCCAGACUCCUACGGGAGGCAGCAGUAGGGAAUCUUCCGCAAUGGGCGAAAGCCUGACGGAGCAACGCCGCGUGAGUGAUGAAGGUCUUCGGAUCGUAAACCUCUGUUAUUAGGGAAGAACAAAUGUGUAAGUAACUAUGCACGUCUUGACGGUACCUAAUCAGAAAGCCACGGCUAACUACGUG
rnacentral:rRNA from 1 species